GUAAAUAAAUAUAAAAUAAUAAUACAAAUGUUUAUUACAAAUAAGAGAGACAAGUGUUUUAAAAAAGUGUCGUUUAAUUUAUUGUUAUUUUAAAACGUUCGGUUCGGUUAACUAAAUUUCUAUUAAAAAGAAUCUAGAACAAAUUGAAAACAUUAGCACUUCCAAAUAAAGAAAAUAACUUUCAUAACAGCCAAAACAUCAACCAGAACUUCACUAUAUAGCAGCUGGUUAGCUCCACUAACAAAGCUGUAAUAGGGUUUAUAUUAUAAACCCUUAAAAUUGGAUUAAACAAACUUUUUAUCAUCAUUAUCAUCAACAUCAAAUAAGCAGUUAAAGUCAACCUUCUAAAUGUCAUCUUUAAAGCUCUCAUCAGCAUUAUCAUCAAUAUAUAACUAAAUGUAAACACCAAAGCAAUAUUAUAACAAACAACAACAAAAACAACAAAGUAAAAAUAAAGGUUUUUUUUUGAUACUUUGCUAAACAAAAACAUAAAAAUUUAAACAAAAUAACGGCAAUAUUAAAGGGACCGUCCGCUCUUAGGGGAAAUAUUACAAAAAUCAAACACAAACAAACAACAAAUAAGCAAAUAAUUGUAAAAUAUU